AGUUCACUGUAAGCUAGUGGAGAGUAAAGACGCUUCAGUGGCUGCAGUGGAAUUUUGAUGCUGAGGGGUACUGCUCGGCAGAGGAGGAUUUUCAUUUAAAUGACGGUAUCCAGCUAAAGUCAUGGAUGAAGCUAGUGACCCAGCACAAUGGAAACUAAAUUUAUUUCAUCUGAAAGGUUGUGAGUGGAGCCGUCAACACUAAAAAAUGGAGUGCAAAGUGG